AUUGAACGCUGGCGGCAGGCUUAACACAUGCAAGUCGAGCGGGGUGAUGGUGCUUGCACUAUCACUUAGCGGCGGACGGGUGAGUAAUGCUUAGGAAUCUGCCUAUUAGUGGGGGACAACAUCUCGAAAGGGAUGCUAAUACCGCAUACGUCCUACGGGAGAAAGCAGGGGAUCACUUGUGACCUUGCGCUAAUAGAUGAGCCUAAGUCGGAUUAGCUAGUUGGUGGGGUAAAGGCCUACCAAGGCGACGAUCUGUAGCGGGUCUGAGAGGAGGCUCCGACACACUGGGACUGAGACACGGCACAGACUCCUACGGGAGGCAGCAGUGGGGAAUAUUGGACAAUGGGGGGAACCCUGAUCCAGCCAUGCCGCGUGUGUGAGGAAGGCCUUAUGGUUGUAAAGCACUUUAAGCGAGGAGGAGGCUCUUUUGGUUAAUACCCAAGAUGAGUGGACGUUACUCGCAGAAUAAGCAUCGGCUAACUCUGUGCCAGCCGCCGCAGUAA
rnacentral:rRNA from 1 species